GAUAAAUAGAAGGAUUUCAGCACUUUUGGAAGACAAGAUUCAAUUGCUUGUGUAUGCAGGAGAAUAUGAUCUUAUUUGCAACUGGCUCGGGAAUUCGAGAUGGGUUCAUGUCAUGUCAUGGUCUGAUCAGAAAGAUUUUAUUUCAGCUUCAAAUGUUUCGUUUAUAGUCGACGGAAAAGAAACUGGCAUUUUAAAGAAUCAUGGCCCUUUGACUCUGUACAUUGUGUCACGAGCGUGCUUUUAGAAGCUGGAUCUGCAGUUGAUGAUAAUCCAUAUGUGUCAACGUCUUUCAUUGUAAUUGAUGCGUUUGACAUUCCGAAGUACGGCUAUGAUCCCAUCAGAAAGAUGUUUUCCAGCACACAUGGAGACUUUCAAUUCAUGGUGAUGCUUCUGCAAAAGCUCGGUUGUAUAGAGAUAGGUUUCUAUGGUUGUGUCAG